rnacentral:rRNA from 1 species
UACGAAGGGGGCUAGCGUUGCUCGGAAUCACUGGGCGUAAAGCGCACGUAGGCGGAUUCCUAAGUCGGGGGUGAAAUCCUGGAGCUCAACUCCAGAACUGCCUUUGAUACUGGCGACCUUGAGUCCGGGAGAGGUGAGUGGAACUGCGAGUGUAGAGGUGAAAUUCGUAGAUAUUCGCAAGAACACCAGUGGCGAAGGCGGCUCACUGGCCCGGUACUGACGCUGAGGUGCGAAAGCGUGGGGAGCAAACAGG